rnacentral:tRNA from 1 species
CGCGGGGUAGAGCAGUUUGGUAGCUCGUCGGGCUCAUAACCCGAAGGUCGUCGGUUCAAAUCCGGCCCCCGCAA